rnacentral:lncRNA from 1 species
ACUCUUCACGCCGCCUUCUCAGAUCGGGCUGCAUGUCCCCACUCCGUGUUUACAUCUCGUUCCCGCUCCGGGUCUCGGUGACUGGCUCCUCAAGCCGGAGACGCGUGUGGUGCGGCGCGAUGCGGGCGCCAGCGCUUAACUUCAGCAGUCAACGGAGAGAAGAGUGGAAACCUUACUGGAUGCGGACAGGAGAGCCAGUUACUGAAAGCAGAUAUAACGCGGAUCCUGUAAAGAGUGGUGUGUAUCCAAAAAAAAAAAAUCUGUACAAUGUAUUUUAAAACUUGUGUGCACAAAACUGAAGAUUUUCUUUUUUACCUAGUCCAAAUGCCGUCCUAGCCUGAGUCCUGCUCUUUAUAAAAAUAAAAUAAAAAGAAUUUGAAGCUUGUGAAAGUA